rnacentral:snRNA from 1 species
UGUGCAAUGGUGAUAUGACUGUGACAACUGUCUACCAUGGUUCACUCAGUUCCACAACGCUUUGUAGGAAAACCUCUUCUCCUUCGACUCACAUCAUGUUUCUUUCCUGGAAUGGCACACUCAAUGCAAGAAGACUGCCAGUCAUGAUAGAGGAGGCCCAAUUUACACUCAAGGUAUAGGGAUAGUAACUGUGUCUAUUGCUAGAAACUAAAUAAUAAAGCUUGGCAAGUUCAUUUAUAGGAGAACAUACAGAGGUCAAGCUUCCAAGACUUUAGAGGUGAAGUACUUCAAGGAGCAUUUGGCUAUUCAUAAAGUA